rnacentral:tRNA from 1 species
AGGGUUAUAGUUAAUUAUAACAUUUGGGUUGCAUUCAAAAAGUAUUGAAAUGAUCAAUUAACCUUA